rnacentral:misc_RNA from 1 species
GAUGAAGAACGUAGCAAAAUGCGAUACUUGGUGUGAAUUGCAGAAUCCCGUGAACCAUCGAGUUUUUGAACGCAAGUUGCGCCCGAAGCCUUUUGGCCGAGGGCACGUCUGCCUGGGCGUCACGCAUCGCGUCGCCCCCCACAAUUCUCCGUAAAGGGAACAUGUGUUUUGGGGGCGGAUAUUGGUCUCCCGUGCUCAUGGCGUGGUUUGCCGAAAUAGGAGUCCUUUCGAUGGACGCACGAACUAGUGGUGGUCGUAAAAACCCUCGUCUUUUGUUUCGUGCUGUUGCUCGCAAGGUAAACUCUUUAAAAACCCCAAUGUGUCGUCUCUUGACGACGCUUCGACCGCGACCCCAGGUCAGGCGGGACUACCCGCUGAGUUUAAGCAUAUCAAUAAGCGGAGGA